rnacentral:lncRNA from 1 species
CAAUUCCUUUGUUCAGGAAUCCCGGACAGGUGAAGAGAGCUGGACUUGGCUCCGUUGCCAAGACACCAGUUAUUGGCUUGUGUCAAUGAUUAAUUCAGUGACUAAUGAUGGGAAAGAAGGAAGUUAUUGGUGUGUAUUUAUGGGGUAUGUGUUGAGACACAUGCUCUCGUAAGAAGAAAAUGGUGCGUGUCCCAAACUGUUCCCUCUCCAGCGAUCAUUUGCCAUUGUCAUCUGAGAUCUUUCAAGUCAUCAAGGGCCAGAUCUGGAUCUUCUUGAUCCCAGUGUUCCUGGGCCUUGUGCAGGUCGGCUUCUUCUUGGAGCAGAUAGGCUUUUUUGUACGCCGCAAAAUCAGCUCCCACCGCACAUGCCUCUCGCUCUGGAUCCUAGGGGUGUAUCCGAUGUUCAGCCUGACUUCUCUCAUCGCACUGUUCAUCCCUCGAGCUUCAUUUGUCUGUAACUUUGUAGCUUCCAUCUACCACUCCAUCACCCUUUGGAAAUUCCUUGCAUUGAUCCAAGAUUUCUUUGGUGGCUCAGACCGAAUGCUUCAACAACUAGCAGGGCAACGUGUUUCUCCAAACCCUUUCCCCUGCUGCUGCUGCUGCUGCCUUCCUGAAAUUGCGGCCAACCGAACAAACUUGCGGUGUAUGACACUGGCUGUAUACCAACUUUCUCUCAUCCGGACCAUCCUCUUUUUUGUUACCCUAAUCCUUUGGACUGACGAGAAAUACGACUAUGGUGAUGUAAGUGAUUCUCGCUCUGAAAAUCACAGCCUAUGGCAAAGGAUUAAGGAAUUCUUAGGUUGUUGUUGUGGGUUUUUCAGGCUGUUUGGCCGUGUUCUGGAUCCUUAGGUUACUGAUUAAGCAUAGAAAGAAAAUCCGGUACCACUACUGAUGCAGGUUGGAUUUGGUGAGCCAAUUCCUCCACAUGUUUCACUAAUUCAAUGGGACUACUCUAAUUGAGACUUACUGUGCUAAGCUACAGGAUUUCAGCCAAUGCUGCACUACUCACAGGAAAGUCAAUUUCAUUCCACCUCCCCUCCCAAUAUGCUUUUCUCUUCUUCCUCAAAGGUCAAUCUGCAUUUACUGGCGACUGAGCAUGCUCAGUUCAUUCUGGGCUGUAUGGGGGGGGGGUUUCUUCCUCCUCUUUCAGACCAGACAGAUCAGACAGAUCAGGGAUCAUGCCUGAAGAACUGCCAUCUCCAAAGCCCCACUGAGCUUGCACC